CCUUAGAGAUUUGAUCCUCGGCUCAGAGCGAACGCAUGGCGGCAAGGCUUAACACAUGCAAGUCGAACGGGCUUCUUCGGAAGUCAGUAGCAGACGGGUGAGUAACACGUGGGAACGUGCCCUUCGGUUCGGAAUAACUCAGGGAAACUUGAGCUAAUACCGGAUACGCCCUUAUGGGGAAAGGUUUACUGCCGAAGGAUCGGCCCGCGUCUGAUUAGCUUGUUGGUGGGGUAACGGCCUACCAAGGCGACGAUCAGUAGCUGGUCUGAGAGGAUGAUCAGCCACACUGGGACUGAGACACGGCCCAGACUCCUACGGGAGGCAGCAGAAGGG
rnacentral:rRNA from 1 species